CUUUGGAGCUUAUCUCUCCAUUUGUGGUACAUAUUUUGUUGUCAGUGUUUGAAAAAUUAUUAUCUUCAUCUUUCAGUGUCGACAACAGUAUAUGCAGCAAAAUCCCCUUCGGUACAAAAUUAAGCCAUUAUAUGCAAAGCAAGUUAAAGUUCAAGACUAUAAGUUAUUGUUUGUGGCCAAAAUCGAACUGCAUGACCAGAAAUUCACUUUAAUUGGAAUUCUGGGUAAUUGGUGGGUUAUUCAAAUGGCACCAUGUUUGGAGGCAUUAUCUGUACUCAGAAACAAAGCUUAAAACAUCCUAUAAGAAAAUGAAUUUAACUGUACAGCUAAUUGGUAGUCAAGAUAUCACUGCAGUGACCGUGUUCAUAUAAGAAUUUAUAUCUGACAUAUCUUCAGUAGUUUGAUGAUCGAGCCACUGCCUUCUCAAGUUUUGUUCUGCUGCAACAAAGGUCUGAGUGUCAGAUGUAUUACUUCUGUUAAAUUACCUUUGCUGGACUAGGGCAAACACUCUGGUUUCUUUAGCCCAUGUGUUAGUUCUACACAAACUUCUUUGUACAUCAUCAAGUGAGUGUUGCCAGGAACCCGCAGCCGCUAUCCUUUUGGGUGCGCACUGGGCAAACCACGAGCUCACGUAAUAGCCUGCAAACCACGUGAACCAAGGUAGCCUUGGAUUAUGAGGUGUUUCAUUUUUACAAAAUUCGUGAAAAUUGACUCCACCCCCUCCCAUCUUUCGGUUAGAAGAAAAAAUGAUUGAGUGACUUGUUUGCUUUUGUGAUCUAUGUAUAUCCAGAUUUUAGGGACACUGGAGUGAACUAUUGGGUGAGAUCAUGUAGAUAAUGCAUAUCAUGUUAUCUACACCUCAUAUACUACUUGAUAGUUUAUACGCAAUGUUUACCAUAGUAUAGAUGGAAAGCAGUUGAUUUUAACAAACCUGUUGGAAACAAAAGGG